rnacentral:rRNA from 1 species
UACGUAGGGUGCAAGCGUUGUCCGGAAUUAUUGGGCGUAAAGAGCUCGUAGGCGGUCUGUCGCGUCGGCUGUGAAAACCCGGAGCUCAACUCCGGGCCUGCAGUCGAUACGGGCAGACUGGAGUUCGGCAGGGGAGACUGGAAUUCCUGGUGUAGCGGUGAAAUGCGCAGAUAUCAGGAGGAACACCGGUGCGAAGGCGGGUCUCUGGGCCGAUACUGACGCUGAGGCACGAAGCCAGGG